AACGAACGCUGGCGGCAGGCCUAACACAUGCAAGUCGAGCGAAGCCUUCGGGCUUAGCGGCGGACGGGUGAGUAACGCGUGGGAACGUGCCCUUUGCUACGGAAUAGCCCCGGGAAACUGGGAGUAAUACCGUAUGUGCCCUUCGGGGGAAAGAUUUAUCGGCAAAGGAUCGGCCCGCGUUGGAUUAGGUAGUUGGUGGGGUAAUGGCCUACCAAGCCGACGAUCCAUAGCUGGUUUGAGAGGAUGAUCGGCCACACUGGGACUGGGACACGGCCCAGACUCCUACGGGAGGCAGCAGUGGGGAAUCUUAGACAAUGGGGGAAACCCUGAUCUAGCCAUGCCGCGUGAUCGAUGAAGGCCUUAGGGUUGUAAAGAUCUUUCAGUGGGGAAGAUAAUGACUGUACCCACAGAAGAAGCCCCGGCUAACUCCGUGCCAGCAGCCGCGGUAAUAC
rnacentral:rRNA from 1 species